UACAGAGGAGGCAAGCGUUGUUCGGAAUCACUGGGCUUAAAGCGCGUGUAGGCGGCCCGUCAAGUACCUUGUGAAAUCCCACGGCUCAACCGUGGAACUGCUGGGUAUACUGGGAAUCUUGAGCCAUCCAGGGGCUACCGGAACAAAUGGUGGAGCGGUGAAAUGCGUAGAUAUCAUUUGGAACGCCAAUGGUGAAAACAGGUAGCUGGGGAUGUGCUGACGCUGAGACACGAAAGCCAGGGGAGCAAACGGG
rnacentral:rRNA from 1 species